rnacentral:tRNA from 1 species
CGGAAUGUGGCGCAGCCUGGUAGCGCACUUGCAUGGGGUGCAAGGGGUCGCGAGUUCGAAUCCCGCCAUUCCGACCA